UACGAAGGGGGCUAGCGUUGCUCGGAAUCACUGGGCGUAAAGGGUGCGCAGGUGGGUUUGCAAGUUCGAUGUGAAAGCCCCGGGCUUAACCCGGGAAUGGCAUUGGAUACUGCAGAUCUGGAGGAUCGGAGGGGGGACUGGAAUUCUUGGUGUAGCAGUGAAAUGCGUAGAUAUCAAGAGGAACACCGAUGGCGAAGGCAGGUCUCUGGGCCGAUACUGACGCUGAGGAGCGAAAGCGUGGGGAGCGAACAGG
rnacentral:rRNA from 1 species